rnacentral:rRNA from 1 species
UGGGGAAUUUUGGACAAUGGGGGAAACCCUGAUCCAGCCACCCCGCGUGUGCGAUGAAGGCCUUCGGGUUGUAAAGCACUUUUGGCAGGAAAGAAACGUCGCGGGUUAAUACCCCGCGAAACUGACGGUACCUGCAGAAUAAGCACCGGCUAACUACGUGCCAGCAGCCGCGGUAAUACGUAGGGUGCAAGCGUUAAUCGGAAUUACUGGGCGUAAAGCGUGCGCAGGCGGUUCGGAAAGAAAGAUGUGAAAUCCCAGAGCUUAACUUUGGAACUGCAUUUUUAACUACCGGGCUAGAGUGUGUCAGAGGGAGGUGGAAUUCCGCGUGUAGCAGUGAAAUGCGUAGAUAUGCGGAGGAACACCGAUGGCGAAGGCAGCCUCCUGGGAUAACACUGACGCUCAUGCACGAAAGCGUGGGGAGCAAACAGGAUUAGAUACCCUGGUAGUCCACGCCCUAAACGAUGUCAACUAGCUGUUGGGGGCCUUCGGGCCUUGGUAGCGCAGCUAACGCGUGAAGUUGACCGCCUGGGGAGUACGGUCGCAAGAUUAAACUUAAAUGAAUUGACGGGGGUCAUAGCUG